ACAACAUCCACCGUAUAUCACAUUAGGGUGGAGAACACGAUGCCUUGCCCACUUAAAAAAUUCACCAAUGCAUUUUUGGGUAUGUUGGAGUUACACAACGAAAUGCAACUGAAAAGAAGUACUGGGCAGAGCCCAAGACGGCACAUCGAGCCAUGAACAAAUUGGUGUUCUCUCUUCUUUGCUGGUACGUAGCAUGAGCCAGGCUGCUGUGCUUGGAUGGAAGCAGCACUCAUCUCAUCUGUUACAUUGCACUAAAGGACAAGCAAAAAACCGAAGGAGAGGGAGGUUACUGGAAGUGUGGGACACAGAAUUACGGAACCUCAGGUGUUGGAAAGGACCUCUGGAGAUCAUCCAGUCUAACCCCCUGCUUCAGCAGGUUCCCUACAGCAGAUCACACAGCUAGGCAUCCAGGACAAAAUUAUCUAAAACAGUGUGUCCUUGAGGACAGAACUGCUGAGGGCUCUCUAUGGAAAUCUAUGAACAAAGUGAACACUGAUUUUGGAGGAAGAGAGGCAAAAAGCAAGAAAAGACCAUGGAUUAGAGAAGUAAAGAUUGAAAGGGCAAGGAGGAAAUGAAAGGCCUCCGCUCAAUUCUGUAGUGAAUCAACAACCUUUCUCAAAGAGGAAAAAAGAAAACUAGCAUGUAUGGCUAGAAAGUGGCUAGAUGGUGUCACAGAACUCAAGAAUGAGAAAGGUUUCAAGUAGGACAAAAACGCACCUAAUUUGCCUAUGAUCUUCUUCAGACAUUUAAAGAGUUGUGAAAAGUGUGAAAACACACCAGAAAAUCAGAACCAAGAUCUCCGUACACCCUCCCAUUCUGAGGCUGGUGGGAUUUCCAUUGUUUCAGUUUGUGCCUAUUGCCUCCUCUCCUGCCAUCGUCACGACUGAGAAGAGUCUCCCUUUACCUUCUACACACCCUGCCACCUCUUAUCUACAAAAAAA
ensembl:lncRNA